GCAGUCGACGGUACAGGAAGAAGCUUGCUUCUUUGCUGACGAGUGGCGGACGGGUGAGUAAUGUCUGGGAAACUGCCUGAUGGAGGGGGAUAACUACUGGAAACGGUAGCUAAUACCGCAUAACGUCGCAAGACCAAAGAGGGGGACCUUAGGGCCUCUUGCCAUCGGAUGUGCCCAGAUGGGAUUAGCUAGUAGGUGGGGUAAAGGCUCACCUAGGCGACGAUCCCUAGUUGGUCUGAGAGGAUGACCAGCCACACUGGAACUGAGACACGGUCCAGACUCCUACGGGAGGCAGCAGUGGGGAAUAUUGCACAAUGGGCGCAAGCCUGAUGCAGCCAUGCCGCGUGUAUGAAGAAGGCCUUCGGGUUGUAAAGACCUUUCAGCGGGGAGGAAGGGAGUAAAGUUAAUACCUUUGCUCAUUGACGUUACCCGCAGAAGAAGCACCGGCUAACUCCGUGCCAGCAGCCGCGGUAAUACGGAGGGUGCAAGCGUUAAUCGGAAUUACUGGGCGUAAAGCGCACGCAGGCGGUUUGUUAAGUCAGAUGUGAAAUCCCCGGGCUCAACCUGGGAACUGCAUCUGAUACUGGCAAGCUUGAGUCUCGUAGAGGGGGGUAGAAUUCCAGGUGUAGCGGUGAAAUGCGUAGAGAUCUGGAGGAAUACCGGUGGCGAAGGCGGCCCCCUGGACGAAGACUGACGCUC
rnacentral:rRNA from 1 species